rnacentral:sRNA from 1 species
AUGAAGUCUGGCUCCGGAGGAGGGUCCCCGACCUCGCUGUGGGGGCUCCUGUUUCUCUCCGCCGCGCUCUCGCUCUGGCCGACGAGUGGAGAAAUCUGCGGGCCAGGCAUCGACAUCCGCAACGACUAUCAGCAGCUGAAGCGCCUGGAGAACUGCACGGUGAUCGAGGGCUACCUCCACAUCCUGCUCAUCUCCAAGGCCGAGGACUACCGCAGCUACCGCUUCCCCAAGCUCACGGUCAUUACCGAGUACUUGCUGCUGUUCCGAGUGGCUGGCCUCGAGAGCCUCGGAGACCUCUUCCCCAACCUCACGGUCAUCCGCGGCUGGAAACUCUUCUACAACUACGCCCUGGUCAUCUUCGAGAUGACCAAUCUCAAGGAUAUUGGGCUUUACAACCUGAGGAACAUUACUCGGGGGGCCAUCAGGAUUGAGAAAAAUGCUGACCUCUGUUACCUCUCCACUGUGGACUGGUCCCUGAUCCUGGAUGCGGUGUCCAAUAACUACAUUGUGGGGAAUAAGCCCCCAAAGGAAUGUGGGGACCUGUGUCCAGGGACCAUGGAGGAGAAGCCGAUGUGUGAGAAGACCACCAUCAACAAUGAGUACAACUACCGCUGCUGGACCACAAACCGCUGCCAGAAAAUGUGCCCGAGCACGUGUGGGAAGCGGGCGUGCACCGAGAACAACGAGUGCUGCCACCCCGAGUGCCUGGGCAGCUGCAGCGCGCCUGACAACGACACGGCCUGUGUAGCUUGCCGCCACUACUACUAUGCCGGUGUCUGUGUGCCUGCCUGCCCGCCCAACACCUACAGGUUUGAGGGCUGGCGCUGUGUGGACCGUGACUUCUGCGCCAACAUCCUCAGCGCCGAGAGCAGCGACUCCGAGGGGUUUGUGAUCCACGACGGCGAGUGCAUGCAGGAGUGCCCCUCGGGCUUCAUCCGCAACGGCAGCCAGAGCAUGUACUGCAUCCCUUGUGAAGGUCCUUGCCCGAAGGUCUGUGAGGAAGAAAAGAAAACAAAGACCAUUGAUUCUGUUACUUCUGCUCAGAUGCUCCAAGGAUGCACCAUCUUCAAGGGCAAUUUGCUCAUUAACAUCCGACGGGGGAAUAACAUUGCUUCAGAGCUGGAGAACUUCAUGGGGCUCAUCGAGGUGGUGACGGGCUACGUGAAGAUCCGCCAUUCUCAUGCCUUGGUCUCCUUGUCCUUCCUAAAAAACCUUCGCCUCAUCUUAGGAGAGGAGCAGCUAGAAGGGAAUUACUCCUUCUACGUCCUCGACAACCAGAACUUGCAGCAACUAUGGGACUGGGACCACCGCAACCUGACCAUCAAAGCAGGGAAAAUGUACUUUGCUUUCAAUCCCAAAUUAUGUGUUUCCGAAAUUUACCGCAUGGAGGAAGUGACGGGGACUAAAGGGCGCCAAAGCAAAGGGGACAUAAACACCAGGAACAACGGGGAGAGAGCCUCCUGUGAAAGUGACGUCCUGCAUUUCACCUCCACCACCACGUCGAAGAAUCGCAUCAUCAUAACCUGGCACCGGUACCGGCCCCCUGACUACAGGGAUCUCAUCAGCUUCACCGUUUACUACAAGGAAGCACCCUUUAAGAAUGUCACGGAGUAUGAUGGGCAGGACGCCUGCGGCUCCAACAGCUGGAACAUGGUGGACGUGGACCUCCCGCCCAACAAGGACGUGGAGCCCGGCAUCUUACUACAUGGGCUGAAGCCCUGGACUCAGUACGCCGUUUACGUCAAGGCUGUGACCCUCACCAUGGUGGAGAACGACCAUAUCCGUGGGGCCAAGAGUGAGAUCUUGUACAUUCGCACCAAUGCUUCAGUUCCUUCCAUUCCCUUGGACGUUCUUUCAGCAUCGAACUCCUCUUCUCAGUUAAUCGUGAAGUGGAACCCUCCCUCUCUGCCCAACGGCAACCUGAGUUACUACAUUGUGCGCUGGCAGCGGCAGCCUCAGGACGGCUACCUUUACCGGCACAAUUACUGCUCCAAAGACAAAAUCCCCAUCAGGAAGUAUGCCGACGGCACCAUCGACAUUGAGGAGGUCACAGAGAACCCCAAGACUGAGGUGUGUGGUGGGGAGAAAGGGCCUUGCUGCGCCUGCCCCAAAACUGAAGCCGAGAAGCAGGCCGAGAAGGAGGAGGCUGAAUACCGCAAAGUCUUUGAGAAUUUCCUGCACAACUCCAUCUUCGUGCCCAGGUACCCAGCUCAUGUGAAAUUUCAGUUGGCAAAACCCACUGCUCAGGCCGGUUCUGUUGCCUUUCUCCCCACCAGGUAG